rnacentral:rRNA from 1 species
CUGGCGGCGUGCUUAACACAUGCAAGUCGAACGCGAAAGGGACUUCGGUCCUGAGUAAAGUGGCGCACGGGUGAGUAACGCGUAGAUAACCUGUCUUCAUGUCUGGAAUAAUACGCCGAAAGGGGUACUAAUACCGGAUAUUCUUUGCUUUUCAUAAGUUAUGCAAGCAAAGGUGGCCUCUGCAUAUGCUACUGCAUGAAGAGGGGUCUGCGUACCAUUAGCUAGUAGGUGGGGUAAUGGCCUACCUAGGCGACGAUGGUUAGCGGGUCUGAGAGGAUGAUCCGCCACACUGGCACUGGAACACGGGCCAGACUCCUACGGGAGGCAGCAGUGAGGAAUAUUGCGCAAUGGGGGAAACCCUGACGCAGCGACGCCGCGUGAGUGAGGAAAGGCCUUCGGGUCGUAAAGCUCUGUCAAGAGGAAAGAAGUGUACAAUGGCUAAUACCUGUUGUAUUUGACGGUACCUCUAAAGGAAGCACCGGCUAACUCCGUGCCAGCAGCAGC